rnacentral:rRNA from 1 species
CGAACGCUGGCGGCGUGCUUAACACAUGCAAGUCGAACGCGAAAGGGACUUCGGUCCUGAGUAAAGUGGCGCACGGGUGAGUAACGCGUAGAUAACCUGUCUUCAUGUCUGGAAUAAUACGCCGAAAGGGGUACUAAUACCGGAUAUUCUUGCUUUUCAUAAGUUAUGCAAGCAAAGGUGGCCUCUGCAUAUGCUACUGCAUGAAGAGGGGUCUGCGCACCAUUAGCUAGUAGGUGGGGUAAUGGCCUACCUAGGCGACGAUGGUUAGCGGGUCUGAGAGGAUGAUCCGCCACACUGGCACUGGAACACGGGCCAGACUCCUACGGGAGGCAGCAGUGAGGAAUAUUGCGCAAUGGGGGAAACCCUGACGCAGCGACGCCGCGUGAGUGAAGGAAGGCCUUCGGGUCGUAAAGCUCUGUCAAGAGGAAAGAAGUGUACAAUGGCUAAUACCUGUUGUAUUUGACGGUACCUCUAAAGGAAGCACCGGCUAACUCCGUGCCAGCCGCAGC